AAUUCAACUGUGUGACCAAAAGGGGUAGAGCCUGGCUCCACCGCUCCUCGACUCCAUUUGAGGGCUGACUGCCACUAAGGAAGGAUCUCUUUCUGGAAAUUGCUCUUUUUGGAGUUAUUCUGAGAGCUUAGGAUGCAGGAUAGAUGCUUCUGUGAUCAUCUUCAUGGCCUCCUUUGGACCCAUUCCAACAGCUCCACAUCUUUCCUGUGCUGAGGGCCCAGACCUGGAUGCAGUUUUCCAGAUGAGGCCUCAUGAAAGCAGAGUAGAAGGGGGCAAUCACCUCCCUCUCCCUGCUGGCCACCCCUCUUCUGAUGCAACUCAGGACUCAGGAUACAGUUGGUCUUCCAGGCUGCAAGAGCACACUGACAGUUCAUGUCCAGAUUUUGACCAUCAGAACCUCUAAGUCCUACUCCACAGUGCUGCUCUCCAUGAGUUCUUCUACCAGUCUGAACACACAUCUGAGAUUGCCCUAACGCAGGUACACUUGCACUUGAGUCACAUAUUGACACUUGCACUUGACCUGAUUGAACCUUAAAAAGUUCACACGCCCACUUCUCAAGCCUGUUCAGGUCUCUCUAAAUGGCAUCCUUUCAUUACGUCACAUCAAUUACACUACUCUGCCUCUGCUUGGUGUACCCUUAGCAAAUUUACUAAUGACACCCAACCCCACUGUCUGUGUCAUUGACAACCAGUGGUUAAAAACCACUGGUCCCAAGAUGAAUCCCUUCAUGACAAAAAAAAAAAAAAAAGCACCUACACAAUCUGAGAAAAAUUUAUAUUAGUCUUUGAUGUAACAUUUCUUUGGGCAGCUUAGAUUUCUAGUAUGUGUUGAAACUUUCCACUGAAGAGAAUACUUGCAUUACUUUUCAGCUGAACACAUGGAGUAGUCAUUUUUACUGCAAUAUCUCUUUAUAGAAGCAUAAGGAGGGGCACAAUCAGAGGCAGAACAUUAAUACUGGACAUUGUCUUAAAAUAAUUAAUUCCCUGUAAACCAUUAAAAGUAUAAAUAUCCAUAUUUAGGCACACCAAGAGGUAUCACAUGUUGCGUCAUGCAUAAUCAAUAAAGUUCUAAAAAUCUCUGUU
ensembl:lncRNA